GGAAUGGACUGACGCAGACCCCUCCCCACUCCUCGCCAGGGGCAGCUUGGUGGCUGCCGAGUGGAGGCCAGAAGAGGGCUUCGUGGAGUUGAAGUCUCCUGCGGUGAGCGGCGGGCUCGGGGACCGGGGACCGCCCUCCCUGCCCUCCUUCCCUUGUGACACUUGCUCUGGGCCCCACACAGGGCAAAUUCUGGCAGACCAUGGGCUUCUCAGAGCAGGGCCGGCAGCGGCUUCACCCGGAAGAGGCCUUGUAUCUUCUGGAGUGUGGCUCCAUCCACCUCUUCCACCAAGACCUGCCACUGUCUAUCCAGGAAGCUUACCAGCUGCUGUUGACCGACCACACUGUGACCUUCCUGCAGUA
rnacentral:sRNA from 1 species